AUGGCCACCCACCACCGGCCCCUCCACGCCCUCCUCGGCGGCGGCGCAGUCGCCGACCUGCUGCUCUGGAGGCGGAGGAACGCCUCCGCGGCGGCCGUGGCCGGCGCCUCGGUCGUCUGGUUCCUCUUCGAGCGCGCCGGGUACAGCCUCGCGUCGGUCCUCUCCAACGCCCUCCUCCUCCUCGUCGUCAUCCUCUUCUUCUGGGCCAAGUCCGCCUCGCUGCUCAACAGACCUCUUCCACCAGUGCCUAAUCUAGAGGUCUCAGAUGUGGUUGUUGAGAAAGCUGUAGUUCGGGCUCUUGUAUGGGUAAACAAGGUGUUGGCUGUUGCCCAUGACAUUGCCAUCAAGAGAGACAGGACAGUUUUUAUACAGGUUAUAAUGGCUCUAUGGGUGGUUUCAUGUAUUGGGAUGCUCUUCAACUUCUUUACGCUCAUUUACAUUGGUGUACUACUCGCUCUGUUGGUUCCCCCGGUAUAUGAGAGGCACCAGGAUGUUAUUGAUGAAAAGGUUGGUUUAGUACACAGCAUACUGUCAAGGCACUUGAAUACCGCCAUUAGCAAGACAGGGCAACCACCUAAACAAAAGAAGGCCGAGUAG
rnacentral:rRNA from 1 species